CGGAGCGUGGCGCAGUCUGGUAGCGCACCUCGUUCGGGACGAGGGGGUCGCAGGUUCAAAUCCUGCCGCUCCGACCA
rnacentral:tRNA from 1 species